rnacentral:tRNA from 1 species
GGGCCGGUAGUCUAGCCCGGCUAUGAUGUCUCGCUUACACCGAGAAUGCGGACGGGAUUUCCCCUCUGUACUCGAGGGUCGCUGGUUCAAAUCCGGCCCGGCCCA